GGGGAGCCGGCGCCGCUUCACCUGCCGGAGAAGGAGGUGGGGAAGGCGAGGCCAGAGGCGGCGACCCGUUCGGCGGCGCCUCCGGGUCCUAGAACCACAACUGCCGCCGGCUUGAGCCGGAGCACUGGCGGGCUCUGGGGAAGGGAGUCAACGCCGCGGGGCGGGAGGGGGUAAACCUCUGAGUCGAGGUUUCUCAGCAACUGCGAGCGCGGCUGGGAGACCCACGGUGGUGCGGCGUUGAGGCUCAGGGGCUGCGUCCCCCUGUCGGGCCCCCGACAGAGAAGGUGGGAACCCCCUUUCAGGCCCCCCACCCCUUGUUUCUCUUCUCGUCUGUUUCGCCCGGAGAUGAGCUAAGGACCAGAAGGAACCAUCUGCAAAUGAGAACCCCAAAGCGGGACGUGGGGCGCGGACACAGGCCAACGUAGACCCCACCACCUGUCCCACCCUCGACCAACUUUGCGCCUGCGCCGGCAACCCCAGUGGUUUUAGUAUGUGGCGCCUAUGAAAAAGGGCUGGCUUCGAGAAGCUGAGGACCACCAAGGCGGUUCCAAGGAAAACCAAGGGGGUUGGAUAAGGAAGGAUUAAAGCCAACCGCUGGGCUGGGAAAGGAGCAGGCACCGCAGAGGAUAAAAAAAAAAAUCUUGACGCUGGCACCUCCAGGGACCUAAAGUGGCCUCUCGGCUUGGAGAAUAACAAUCUCUGAUGUCUGCCAAUUACAGAAGCACUUCCAGGGCCUGUUUCUCUUUCAUCCUGACAGUGAUGACCAAGGGAGAUUGUCCAGAACCACUGGCAGGAGUUUAAGCAGGAGCCGAGAAGUUAUCAAAUCUUGAGGAAGGCCAUGGGAUGAUCUCCCCACACACAGACCUUGCCCGGGCUGAACUGAUUUAAGCUUUUCAUCUGCCAAGGUCAUCAACACCCCAGGAGCCUCACAGACUGUCAUCUCUGAGAGUGAAGACCCAGGAUUCCCAAGGUAGCUCUCAGCCAGCUCUUCUGUGUGGCAGGGAUGGGCCUCGUCAUCACUGAAAUACCUAAAGACUGGAAACAAAUCAAGUGUCCAGCUAGAGGGGAUUGGAUAACCGGCACUGUCGUUUAGAACUUUCCAUGAUGAUGGAAAUGUUUGCUGUCUUCACUGUCCAAUCGGGUAGCCACUAACCACAUGUGGCUGUUGAGCACCCAAAAUGUGGCUACUGUGACUGAGGAAGUGAAUUUUAAAUUUUACUUAAUUUUAAUUAAUUUCAAUUGAACUAGCCACAUGUGGCUAGUGGCUACUAUAUCUAACAGUGCAGGGUUAAAUAACCUAUGAUAUAUCCCCACAAUGGAAAACUACGCAGCUAUAAAAAACAAUCAGGAUGCCAGGUACUGAUAUGGAAACAUCUUCAAGUAUAUUUUUAAGCAAAAAUAUGAUGCAGAACAGUAUAUAUAGUAUGCUAUCUUUUGUAAGGAAGGGAGGUGGAAAUAAGAAUAAAUGCUUGAAUUUGCAUAGAGAAAAUAAUAAAAGUGGUGGCCUCUAGUGUGCUGGAGAAGCAAGGUGGACAAGAACAGGGUGAGAGAAAGACUUCACAAUGAAUUUCUUUCUGUAUCAUUUUGAUUUUUCAACCAUAUGCAUUUAUUAACCUAUCCAAAAAGUUAAAUUAAAAUAUAAGAUCUAUCUAUCCUGGCAACUUGUGGUAGAUGAGGAAAGGAACCUCACUACACUGCCGCUUCUAUGUGAUUCCCCGAAGGACGCCUCUGGAGACUUGGGACAAAGAACACCUCAUAAGCCACAGCCCAGAUGCGGCAGGUGCCCACAGCUGGCCUAUGUCAGAAUUGGAAUGUUAGGGGAUGGGGCCAGGAGCCUGUGCCGUUUAUGGUCUACCAGGUAACUCUCAGAGCAGACACUGAACUGCCCUUACCAAUCAAUACCUCCCAAUGAAGAGAGGACAGACCCUAGCACCUGGCACUUGUCCAUUCCCUACAGACAGCAAUGGUCACUGACAUCUUCUGAGCACUGAUGAUGGACCAGGCACUUUCCAUGGGUCAUUCUAAUCCAGACAGCAGCCAGGACAGGCUUCAUUAUCCCUGGGCUGAGGGUCCUCUGGAGUGACUAACUUACUCAAGGUCACACAGCUGGUAAAGAUCAGAGCUAGGAUCUGAAUUCCAUCCUUAACCCCCUGAGCCUCAGUUUCCUCCUCUGAAAAGAUGAAGAUAGGAUUUCAUAGAAUUGUUUUGAAUAUUAAAUAAAAUUUCAUGUAAAGGGCUAAGCAGAGACUUACAUUUCCAGCAGUAAGCUAGACUCAAUGCCCAGAGAAACCCUUCUAAUAUCCAAACCCAAAAACCCAUUGCCAUCGAAUCAAUUCCCACUAUUAGCUGCCCUAUAGGACAGAGGAGAACUGCCCCAUAGGGUGAUGGGUUUGAACUGUCAACCUACCGGUUAACAGCCAAGUGUUUAACCACUGAGCCAUCAGGGAUCUUUAGUGAAAUCAUAAACCAAAUAUCCCCUUGCUAUCCUGUCGCUUCUGACUCACAGCAACCCUAUGGGGUGGAAUAAGACUGCCCCAUAGGGUUUCC